GUAAAAACUAAGCUAUUGUUAUUAUUACUACAAUGUAUCAAUAGCCUUCCCUAAAGUAUAUAGAACACUCACCUCAAAAAGCUCACAGUUUUAAGUGGAGAGAGAAAAAUAAUGCAUAGAAAGUAUCUAAUAAUUCAAGAAAAAAAGAAUUUAUUAUUCAAACAGAAAGUAAUGCCCCUCAAACCUCAAUUCUAGGUAGACUCUUUUGGUUGCAAGAAAAAGAUCCACUCAACCUAGCUCAACUGAGAAAUCUCCUCAAAGGUAUCUCAAGGAACACAAAGAUUUGAAACUCCUUUAAAUUUGAAGAGUCUGGAUUUAACUGACAAGGAAACAUGUGAGAAGCAAUGGAAAUGGAUUGUAAAUGUCAGCAUCAUGUUUGAUCAUACCAAGCACUGAAGAUAAAUUCCUUCUGUAUUAUGGUUUUGCUGAGAAAGAAAAUCCCAGUUGGGACACCAAUCCUGAUCACCUGGACUUCGUCCCAAAAAGUAUGUCUGAAAUGGGCCUCAAUGAGGAGAAAAUUGUAAGAUCACCAAUCCUGUAUCCUUUGUAUCUUUAAGGGUGACACUACCCUAUCCUGUUGUUUAUUGUUUUAUUGUUUUUGG
rnacentral:lncRNA from 1 species